rnacentral:rRNA from 1 species
GAUGAACGCUGGCGGCGUGCCUAAUACAUGCAAGUCGAGCGAACAGACGAGGUGCUUGCUCCUUCGACGUUAGCGUCGGACGGGUGAGUAACACGUAGGUAACCUACCUAUAAGACUGGGAUAACUUCGGGAAACCGGAGCUAAUACCGGAUAAUAUUUCGAACCGCAUGGUUCGAUAGUGAAAGAUGGCUUUGCUAUCACUUAUAGAUGGACCUGCGCCGUAUUAGCUAGUUGGUAAGGUAACGGCUUACCAAGGCAACGAUACGUAGCCGACCUGAGAGAGUGAGCGGCCACACUGGAACUGAGCCACGGUCCAGACUCCUACGGGAGGCAGCAGUAGGGAAUCUUCCGAAAUGGGCGAAAGCCUGACGGAGCAACGCCGCGUGAGUGAUGAAGGUCUUCGGAUCGUAAAACUCUGUUAUUAGGGAAGAACAAACGUGUAAGUAACUGUGCACGUCUUGACGGUACCUAAUCAGAAAGCCACGGCUAACUACGUG